UGUUGUUUUGUUGAACAGUUGGUUACAUCGUAAAUUGUUGAAGGAAGUACAGUUUUCCUCAAGCGGCCAUAGAUAAAAUGAAGUUCGCAUUGUUGAUGUUGGUAUUUCUUGCCAUAGCCACAGAUAAUGUGUCUUCCCAGUGUCCUAAUUGUAAUUGUUUCCCGACAGGACAAUAUGUUUGUUCAAGCUGUGGUGUGACUUUCAAUAAUGAAUGUUAUAUGCGAUGCCAUCUUCAAAACUAUGGUUGCCGUGGUCAAUGUCCAUGUCCAGAGAAUCCUUAACAUGUAUCAGACUAAUCACCAAGUGAGACUGAUAAUUAUAAUAAACUUUGAUAAAAUUUAGAAAAAAA